rfam:Shewanella woodyi ATCC 51908, complete genome.
AGGUCGGCAGACCACCUAGGCAUCGCCUCUGCUCUUUUUAGUGCAGCGCUAAACCUGCUG